UAAAUUAUAGUAAAUUUAUUUGAAUUCUUUGACGGAAGUGCGAGGAAGACGGUAAAAAUUAUGCAAAAACAAUAUUGAGGUGAAUUAAAGUGUGGGGUUAAACGUGUUCCUUAAUUCGAUUGCAAUGAUCGCCACCCUGUGUGUAAGAAGAAGGAAGAUCAAAGCGAAGGAAAUGACAGUUUUAAAAAUUAAUUGAAUUGUCUUCAAUAAAAAUUGAAAUUGUGCGUGUUUCAAAUUUACAAAAUUAAAUUGUAUUAUAUUUAUAUAAGCUAUUCACAAAAAGGUAGUGUAAAAUCAUUGUGCGGUCAAGUGUGCGCGUUUUAAGCAUAAAUUUAUGUUCGUUUAUGUUCGUAUAUACAUAUACCGAUGUGCCUGAGCAACAGAAGCUGUUGGUUCGCAUGGAAAGUUCUGGUGGAAAAGUUGCUAUCGUUGUUAUAUAUGUACUAACAACUAUAUAUGCAACUGUAAAAUUGCAACCAAGUAUAUUUUAAACCAAUAUCGACAGAUUUAAUAAAGCAUCAAAAAGCAAAAUAUUAAAAAAGGCUUUACAGACAAGUGUGCGCGUUUUACGUUUAAUUUUAUGUAACUAAGUAUGUGCGUUUUGUGCUGAUAGAAAUGCUGCUGUGCUUUGGCUAACUUGCAAAGUGAUGGAGGUUUCAAUAUGGAAAUAAUUGUUGCUCUUGUGAAAGAUAUAAGUGUUUCAAAAGCGUUUGCUUCAAAAAUCGGCUAUUCAUUCAAAGGUUACACAAUUAUAUAUCACUUUAAUCAAGUCGCUAUUAAAAUCAUUCAUACAUUCAUCAAACUCUAUAUAAAA